rnacentral:rRNA from 1 species
UACGGAGGGUCCGAGCGUUAUCCGGAAUCACUGGGUUUAAAGGGUGCGCAGGCGGCGUCGUAAGUCAGGGGUGAAAGGCCGUAGCUUAACUAUGGGACUGCCCUUGAUACUGCGGUGCUCGGAUCAGGAUGAGGUAAGCGGAAUGCGGCAUGUAGCGGUGAAAUGCAUAGAUAUGCCGUGGAACACCGAUUGCGAAGGCAGCUUACUGGACCUGUAUCGACGCUGAGGCACGAAAGCGUGGGGAGCGAACAGG